UACGGAGGGGGCUAGCGUUGUUCGGAAUUACUGGGCGUAAAGCGCACGUAGGCGGUUUUGUAAGUUAGAGGUGAAAGCCCAGGGCUUAACCCUGGAAUUGCCUUUAAGACUGCAUCGCUAGAAUCGUGGAGAGGUGAGUGGAAUUCCGAGUGUAGAGGUGAAAUUCGUAGAUAUUCGGAAGAACACCAGUGGCGAAGGCGACUCACUGGACACGUAUUGACGUUGAGGUGCGAAAGCGUGGGGAGCAAACAGG
rnacentral:rRNA from 1 species